AAGGCAACAAAGUCUUUCCCUGGUGCAAUUCCUUGGUCUCCAGAUUCCUCACUCGGCAAUUCCUCAAAUAGUUCUGCCAAUUCCAGCUCCCCCAACUCCCCUGCGAGUAAUUCCACAUUCGGCAGGCCAAGUUCGUUACACGGGUUACACCAUAAUAAGCGCACUCACAGCAUAAAGUCACCACAUCGUCGGAGGUCUGUUCACAAUAUUCCAUUGUCUCCCUUGGCUCGAACCCCCUCCCCCUCACCCAUGCCAACUUCUCCAAAUCGCAGUCCCAGUCCUCUCGCAUUUACGCAAGGUCAAACUUCUUCUGGUCAUCAAAUUGGAAGCUCCAACAUGCCUCAGCAAACUUAUCCAGCACAAAUGAACUCUUCGCAAUCCCCUAACACAAGCAUUACAAGAAAGACUUCCUUUUCUCGACCCAAAAGUUGUGAGCCGGGGUCACCCCUUCUGAGAAGAGCCCUCUCUCCUGACCGUCUUCACCCUCACUCGGCCGAGAAAGCCGUCGUUCAGAGGAAGGGGUCUCUACAGGAGAAGAAGAGUCAUUUAUACGAGUCAGUGUGAUGGAUAGAGCUCCUACAGUGGGACAUUGUAAAUCAUUCAAUGGCAACUGCUAUUUAAACUUGCAGAACAUAGUGAAGCAAAAACUACAAAUCUGCUCCCCCAACCCUUUAAUGUGAUAUAAAAUACCUAUAUACAUGUAUAUUGUUUUUUGUGUGAGUGCUUGUUAAUUACUAGAUCUUCCCCCCAUUUAUUGUUUUUUCAUGCGUGACUAGCUUUUUUCUGUGAUGAUCAUUGUAACAAACCUUCCCAUGCUCAAAGCUUGUGCUAAACUAGAAAAUUUAUGUGAUAUGAUAAUACUGAAACCAUUUGUUGAUGUUUGUUUACAUAUUCAUGUGCAUGUACAUUGAAAAACUUUACGUUGUUUAUAUGGAUAGCAUUUUGAGUAGUGCUAAGGCUGGAAGACUCAAUCCAGUUGAAGAAUUUACUCAAAUUACAAGAUUAUAAAUGCUAGAUAGGGGAAGAAAAUCCUGUUCAUUUUGAGUCAAAUUCUGAACUGUGAUGUUUUGUUGAUUACUAGGUGCUUUCAGAAACCAUUCACACAUAAUUUGUUGACUUGUUAAUCUUCAGAGGUAAUAGAAAAUGUCUUUUUCAUUUAGGUCUCUCAAGUUUCCAAGAUUAAACACUUUUUACUAUAAAAAGAUAUAUAAAAUUGAAUGAAAUAAUAAGCCUUGGAUUAAUCUUAUCUUCAAUUGGUAAUAAAAGUUAAGCAUAUUCAACUUUAAGAAUUUAUAUUUCAUCUCUUCUACACUUUUUAUUACACUGAAGAUUAACAAUACUUUGUUUCAUAAAUGUUGACGUAAAUGGCAAAACAACCAAUGACAUUCACCCCAUCAUCAUGUUUAUGUCUCAUUUUCAUUGUAUUGAUUUCUAUGUAAUAGAAUAUUUCACUUGUACUCUGUAAAUAAAUGGACAUCGCACAAAUAGUAACACCAGUGGGAAAAAAUUAUUUGAACAGACUCGCCUCUAAAUUUGACAUUAUGAUGCUUUAUGCUGGAGAUUGCUAAAAUUCCUCUCUUUUUUUUUAAAUUAAAAUGUUUAAAUGUUUGAUUCUAACUCUGUGUGAAUUUUUUUAAAAAAUGUAUUUUUAACAUCUUGACUAUACAGUAAAUCUGAACAUGCUCAUUAUUUUCUUGGAAUAUUACUUAAUCUUGUCUGUUUGGCUGGAGAAGGUUGUCAAAAUUAGGUAUGAUAUAUCUACCGAGUCCAUUGACACUGUGUGUAGUAGUCGUGCUUCUUCAAUGUUUUAAAGUACUUAGUGUGUCGUCCACAUUGAUCUCAUAUAAGUGUAAACCCACUGCCUGUACAGAUGUACCUUACUGACGUUUGAUUGAGAAUAUAUAUAUAUUGUCAUGUUUGAAUAAAUGCUAUAGUUAU
rnacentral:misc_RNA from 1 species